UCGUGACUUCAUGCACGCAAGCGGCUCCAGGGUACGUCGCCGCCACGCGCGCUCGCACGAUCGGUGCGCGGUGACGUUUCGCCGGCGCGGGCGCCAUCCCGGAAGCGCGAGCAAGGCCGCCAGAUGUGCAGGCAGCGGAGGAGGAGGAAGAGAUGGACCUCCCGGACUCGGCCUCGAGGGUCUUCUGCGGCCGCAUCCUGAGCAUGGUGAACACAGAUGAUGUCAACGCCAUCAUCCUGGCCCAGAAGAACAUGCUGGACCGCUUUGAGAAGACCAAUGAGAUGCUGCUCAACUUCAACAACCUGUCCAGUGCCCGCCUGCAGCAGAUGAGCGAACGCUUCCUGCACCACACGAGGACCCUGGUAGAGAUGAAACGGGACCUGGACAGCAUCUUCCGCCGUAUCAGGACGCUGAAAGGAAAACUGGCCAGGCAGCACCCAGAGGCCUUCAGCCAUAUCCCAGAGGCAUCCUUCCUGGAGGAAGAGGAUGAAGACCCCAUCCCACCCAGCACCACGACCACCAUCGCCACCUCAGAACAGAGCACGGGCUCAUGUGACACCAGCCCCGACACCGUCUCACCCUCCCUGAGCCCUGGCUUCGAGGACCUGUCCCAUGUCCAGCCUGGCUCCCCAGCCAUCAACGGCCGCAGCCAGACAGAUGACGAGGAGACGACGGGCGAAUAGCCCUGCUGCCCGGUGCCUUGAGGGGGGUCUCAGGGCAGUGGCAUACAAGGUGGCAGCAGAACAUCUCUCUUCUGCAAGACCCCUCUGCCAUGCCAGGGCACGCCCAUUCCAGCUGGAGUCGCGGGGCUGGGCACAGGGGAAUCCUGACGUCUGCUCUGAAGAGUGCUUAAAAGGUGACCAGAGCCAGAUGUCCCCCACCCCCGGUCAGGACCUCCUUGAGGUGCACAAGCAUGGUCUCCUCUGAGUUCACCCCAGCCCAGCCCCGCACCCACUAAUUCUGUUUUUCCUGCCCCUUGCUCCGUAAAAGUAUCAAAUACUUUCUCCUUGGUAUCUCAAGGAGGUUUCUGAGAUAGGUAGAAGUCUUGAGACGGAGGCUGGCCAUCCAUUCAGCCCUGAGCGUGCUGAGGCCUGUGUUUCUCUGAAUAGAGGUGUGGAACCUGAGGGGCCAGCAGGCCUCUCUGAAGGCCUCCAUGGAGCAAACGGAGCCACCUUGGGAAAGAGUUUAAUGGAAUAUUUUUGUACCCGAUGUUUACAGAUGCUGUUGGGAAGUUAUCAAUAAAAAGACACCAUUACUAAAAAGGGAAAA